rnacentral:rRNA from 1 species
AAAUUGAAGAGUUUGAUCAUGGCUCAGAUUGAACGCUGGCGGCAGGCCUAACACAUGCAAGUCGAACGGUAACAGGAAGAAGCUUGCUGCUUUGCUGACGAGUGGCGGACGGGUGAGUAAUGUCUGGGAAACUGCCUGAUGGAGGGGGAUAACUACUGGAAACGGUAGCUAAUACCGCAUAACGUCGCAAGACCAAAGAGGGGGACCCUCGGGCCUCUUGCCAUCGGAUGUGCCCAGAUGGGAUUAGCUAGUUGGUGGGGUAACGGCUCACCAAGGCGACGAUCCCUAGCUGGUCUGAGAGGAUGACCAGCCACACUGGAACUGAGACACGGUCCAGACUCCUACGGGAGGCAGCAGUGGGGAAUAUUGCACAAUGGGCGCAAGCCUGAUGCAGCCAUGCCGCGUGUAUGAAGAAGGCCUUCGGGUUGUAAAGUACUUUCAGCGGGGAGGAAGGGAGUAAAGUUAAUACCUUUGCUCAUUGACGUUACCCGCAGAAGAAGCACCGGCUAACUCCGUGCCAGCCGCCGCGGUAAUACGGAGGGUGCAAGCGUUGUUCGGAAUUACUGGGCGUAAAGGGCGCGUAGGCGGCUUGGUAAGUCAGAUGUGAAAUCCCCGGGCUCAACCUGGGAACUGCAUCUGAUACUGGCAAGCUUGAGUCUCGUAGAGGGGGGUAGAAUUCCAGGUGUAGCGGUGAAAUGCGUAG